rnacentral:rRNA from 1 species
CAGUCGCCACGGUAAUACGAAGGGUGCAAGCGUUACUCGGAAUUACUGGGCGUAAAGCGUGCGUAGGUGGUGGUUUAAGUCCGUUGUGAAAGCCCUGGGCUCAACCUGGGAAUUGCAGUGGAUACUGGGUCACUAGAGUGUGGUAGAGGAUGGUGGAAUUCCCGGUGUAGCGGUGAAAUGCGUAGAGAUCGGGAGGAACAUCAGUGGCGAAGGCGGCCAUCUGGGACAACACUGACGCUGAGGCACGAAAGCGUGGGGAGCAAACAGGAUUAGAUACCCCAGUAGUCCCUGUCUCUUAUAC